rnacentral:lncRNA from 1 species
CUGAAGUUCUCACAUACACACAGGCCCAUAUCAGAUAAAAGUGCCCCAGACCUUUCUGAAUCAGGACCAUCAUCAUCUGGCCUGAAGAGAAGUAUAAUACAGAAUUAAAAGAAGACUCUUCAAGUCUCUGUCAUCCCUUAAGAACCCUGAAGCUCUGAUGAUGGGAUUACAUGAAAGUGAAACUUGAGUUUUGCCCAGGUGACUCAAAUGGGACUUGCUCUGGGGCUGGAAAAGAAUAUGUUGGUGAGAAAGAAGACAGAGACACAUGUCGAGUAAACAGCCAGCAGCCUCUGCC